CGGCUGGAUCACCUCCUUUCUAAGGAUGGUUCUUCAGAAGCUUGCUUCUAUCGAACCGUUUUAGAAACAUCAGUGGCCAACGAUCGUCAGGAUUGUUGAGCUGCAUUGGCGGGAUUUCGCCGUCUUCGUUUCUCUUUCUUCGCGGACGAACACGCGCUGGGCCUGCGAGAGCAGGGUCCCUGGUCCUUGACGGGAUAUGCGUUAGGGGCUUGUAGCUCAGUUGGUUAGAGCGCGCGCUUGAUAAGCGUGAGGUCGGAAGUUCAAGUCUUCCCAGGCCCACCACACUCAUCGGGUAAGCAUUCGUCUUCUGGUUACGGGGCCAUAGCUCAGCUGGGAGAGCGCGUGCUUUGCAAGCAUGAGGUCGUCCGUUCGAUCCCGUCUGGCUCCACCAGAUGGUUUGAUCACCGAGGCUGUGUUUGGAGGUAUUCAACCGUCGUCCGCGACACAUCACUUCGCACCUGCUAGUCUGGAUAGACAGUGAGGUUGCGUGAUUUCUGACAUCGUAAAGAGGAGAUCGAUCCGAGUUGGAUCGGGCAGCAAGCAAUUGCUGCGCGAACCUUCAUUAUCUCCGGAUCAUUUCGGCGCUCGCGCGCCUUUCAAUGCGGCUCACAAGGCUGCGUCUGAAGGGAAUGCGGGUUGUAAAUGAUCCUUUUAGCGAAGCUUGACCGCCUCGCUAUCGGAACGAUCUUACGAAGCAAGCUGGUCUUUCUAAUCAUUGUCCGGCUGUACGUAGCGUUCAUCGAGGCCGCGUGCCGUAAGGCAAUCGUACAGACACAUUCUGCCGAGUGUGUGGACAUUGAUAAUGAGAGCAAUCAAGUGCCUUAAGGGUGUUCGGUGGAUGCCUUGGCGCUGAG
rnacentral:tRNA from 1 species